UGGACACCGUGAGAUUUAAAAGGGAACUUUUGUCAAUUUUCUCUCUAUAAUCUCUCUCUCUGCUUACGGCCCUCUUUCGAGAUCUUCGUCGGAGGCUGUUCGCAGAGAGAAUAAUAAUAAGAAGAAUAAGAAGAAAGGAAUUGAUUGAAAAGAGAGAUUAGCACAAAAAUGACAAUGAGAUCUGGAAAGUUGCUUUUCAGUUUCGUUGUAGUAUUUGCUCUGAUUUUCUCGGUCCUUUUUCCGGCCGUUCAGGCACAAGAGGGUUUAGCUCCGGCACCUGCUCCAGCCAGCGACGGUACAACAAUUGACCAAGGGAUUGCAUGUGCAUUAAUGUUGUUGGCCUUGGCCGUGACCUACCUCGUUCAUGCUGCUGAUGUUCCUUUUUAAUUAGCUUCUAAAAAUAAUGAGAGUUUAUUGAACAUCAUUGGUGUUUUGAGUGCCUAGGUUUAUGGAAAAUUUACAAGGUUUUUCUUGUUAUUACACCUAGGACACUUGUAUUUAGGACCAAUUUAACUUUGACAAGCAAAUCUUUUUUGGGGUUCCAACAAUAUUUAUAUAAUACUCUUGGUCAAGCUUUUUCAUUAUUCUU